rnacentral:rRNA from 1 species
AUGGCGAUCCUCCCACUGGUGGCCAUGCUCAGGGACAAGGCGUCCAGCUACCUCCUCGGCCAGUACAAUGUGAUGGAGGGAAUGGAGAAGCAGCACAGGAUUCUCAAACGCAGGCUUCCUAUCAUCCUCGACGUCAUCACAGACGCCGAGGAGCAGGCUGCAUCACACAGAGAAGGAGCUAAGGCCUGGCUCCAGGAGCUCAAGACAGUGGCCUAUGAGGCAAAUGAAGUCUUUGAUGAGUUCAAGUAUGAGGCGCUCCGCCGUGAAGCGAAGAAGAAUGGACAGUACAAAAAACAUGGACUCGAUGUGAUAAAACUCUUCCCUACUCACAACCAUGUUGUGUUUCGUCACAGAAUGGGUAGCAAGCUUUGCAAGAUUCUCGAGGAUAUCAAUGUUCUCAUUGCGGAGAUGCAUGACUUUGGGUUGAGGCAGACGUUCUUGGUGUCUAAUCAGUUGAGGCAGACACCAGAGUCCAAGGAGUGGAGGCACACUGAUUAUGUCAUCAUCGACCCACAAGAAAUUGCCAGCAGAUCCAGACACGAAGAUAAGAAGAAUAUUGUCGGUAAACUACUUGGUGAAGCUAGCAAUGCAGAUCUCACAGUAGUUCCCAUCGUCGGAAUGGGGGGCCUUGGCAAGACCACAUUAGCACAGCUCAUAUACAAUGAACCUGAAAUUCAGAAGCAUUUUCCGUUGCAGCUCUGGGUCUGCGUCUCUGAUACCUUCGAUGUGAAUUCGGUGGCUAAGAGUAUAGUUGAAGCAUCCCCCAAGAAAGAUCAUGAUACAGACAAACCACCACUGGAUAGACUUCAAAAACUGGUCAGCGAACAGAGGUAUCUCCUUGUAUUGGAUGAUGUCUGGAACAGGGAGGUCCAUAAGUGGGAAAGGCUAAAGGCUUGUCUUCAGCAUGGCGGCAUGGGUAGUGCAGUGUUGACAACAACCCGUGAUAAACAAGUUGCUGAAAUUACGGGUGCAGAUAGAACCUACAAUCUCAAUGUUUUGAAGGAUAACUUCAUUAAGAAAAUUAUUCUUACUAGAGCAUUCAGUUUACAGAAUGAAAAGCAUCCCGAGCUACACGAGAUGGUUGGUGAGAUUGUGAACAGAUGUCAUGGCAAUCCUUUAGCUGCAACUGCACUGGGAUCUCUACUUCAUACCGAGACCAGCGUGAAAGAGUGGAAGGAUGUAUCAUCUAGAAGUAGCAUUUGCAUCGAGGAAACUGGAAUUUUGCCAAUACUAAUGCUUAGUUAG